rnacentral:rRNA from 1 species
UACGUAGGGGGCUAGCGUUGUCCGGAAUCAUUGGGCGUAAAGCGCGUGUAGGCGGUCCGGUAAGUCCGCUGUGAAAGCCCCGGGCUCAACCUGGGAACCGCGCUUGAGACUGGAGAACUAGAGUUCGGGAGAGGAUGGUGGAAUUCCCAGUGUAGAGGUGAAAUUCGUAGAUAUUGGGAAGAACACCGAUGGCGAAGGCAGCCAUCUGGACCGACACUGACGCUGAGGCGCGAAAGCGUGGGGAGCAAACAGG